ACUUCCUGUCCCCGCGGCUCUGUGUCCCCUGCUAGCCGUAGGCCGUGUGACCCGCAGGCACCGGGAGAUCCAGAAGUGAAACGCCAGGCUCUCUGGAGGCCAGGAGAUGGUGUGAUUUGUCCAGAGAAUCUUUCCUAAGAGGAAAUCCCAGAGAAGCAGGAGAAAGAGAAAGAAAUGGCUGGUGCUCAGACACUGUUGACGUUCAGGGAUGUGGCCAUAGAAUUCUCCCUGGAGGAGUGGAAAUGCCUGGACCUUGCUCAGCAGAAUUUGUACAGGGAUGUGAUGUUGGAGAACUACAGAAACUUGUUCUCCGUUGGUCUCACUGUCUCUAAGCCAGGCCUGAUCACCUGCCUGGAGCAACGAAAAGAGCCCUGGAAUGUGAAGAGACAGGAGGCAGCAGACGGACAUCCAGGUGGCCUAUCCUAGAGAAUGUUUUCUGAGCUCUUGGGAAGAGUGUGUCUCCUGCUGUGUUGUGUGGAGCGUUCU
rnacentral:sRNA from 1 species